CUUCUCUUUUUUACAAAAUAUAGUAAUACAUUACCACAAAUUGUCACUUAUAAUUUUCACUCAUAGAAUACGUAGAACCAAACACAGUUCACGAAUAAUCAAUGUGUUUUCUAGUUUUCUGGUACACUUUAUUCAAAUUAAGCAUUCACCGCGCACGCGUAUCUGAUUGCAUGCGCAUUACAAUCUACGAUCAUUAUCUCUCCUUGUCAAUCUUCUCGGCUUCAGCCGAAUGUACGUACAGUCGGAGUCUAAAAGGUUGAAACGCUUUUUUAUAAAUGAUUUUCGGAACGUAGCAAAAUUGUCAGAAUGCGAACCACUGCUUGCAUAGCGAUUAGGAUAGCUGUCAACGUGAUGAUAGAAUCAAAACAUAGUGAAGAAAUGCAUUUUGUGAGCCGCGAAAGUUUAAGAUUCCAAAUGGAUACCAAAAUUAGGAUAAGUAUAAAAGAAUAAGUUAAAUCCAUAAUAAGAAUAAGUUAGAUGAUGCAUUUUGUACUCAUAAAAUAAAAUUUCUUUUCUUUUUUUUGCAGUUGUGCAAAUGGCAGAAGAAUUUAAUGCUCGGAAUCAUGGCAAAGUUCUUUCUCAAAGGAAAGAAGAGCAUGAUAUGGAUUAAUGCGACAAAGAGAAAUAGGCUAUAGAAGGCUAUAUAAAUCCUCGACUGAUCAGGGCGACCACAUUGUAUUACGGCUGAGGAAGACAUCUGGUUAUCUUAGUGCAGGAGACUGAAUUUCGCACAGCGCGGCAAGCGAUAGUGGAAGCUAAUAUUAAUAUUAGUAUAUUAUUAAUAAUAAUUGUAGUCUAAAAACUGUGAGAUGUAGAUGAAGGAAAAUAGAUAUUAUUUGCCGGCACAAAAUGAGCGAUUAACAGAAGGUCACAAGAAGCAACGGAUAGUUUUGACCUUGAACCUUCAGUAUGGGAGGACGAAUGGAGAAAUAUCAUUUUUUCUGAUGAAAAGAUAUUUUUUACGGGUGUAUCAGGGCGCGUAUUACUGUGGAGAACGAGAGGAACGAGGUACUCAGAUAAGAAUAUUCAUUUCCGCCAACGAUCUAGCCGCAUCAUAUUGGCAUUUUUGAGACAUAUGUCUUCAUAUGACCAUUAGUGCGUACCACAUGAUGUGCGUAUCGCUCAUGAACAGUGAGGAAUCCACACAUCCACAUCUUGUUCGAUGUGAUGCUGCUAUACAUCGUAGAGACAUUUCUUGAUCUAUCGUCCGUUUCUUUCGUUUAGGAUAAUUCAGAAAUGCAUCGAGUGAGAGUUGUUCAGAAUUGACUGACUAUGCAACCCAAUCUUAAGACGUUGGAUUGGCCAAUCAAAUCCCCAGAUUUAAAUGUGAUAGAAGAUCUUUGGAGUACAAGAGUGGAAUUCGCAAAUGGUGAGAACACGCGAGGCACUCGAGGCACACGUAAUUAAUGUAUGGGAGGCUUUUCGCGCGAGACCCGUGUUAUUCCAAAACUUAGUUACAUCUAUGUCCUAAAAAUUAAAUGCUGUGAUAAAGAACCAUGGAAGUGUCACACGAUAUUAACCGUAUGUGAUCUUCCAUGGUUAAUAUAUGUAUAGAUGACAUUUGAUAUUGAAUGAUUAUAAACAAUUCUCAAAGACCCUCACUUAGCUCCGUAAGAAUAUACAAAAUACCUUGUUCCUGCGGGCAAGUAUAUAUUGGAGAAACUGGGAAAAUGGUUAACUUAUGGAUAAAGGAAUACCAAUGUGAUGUCAGGCUAAAACACGUCACGCAAUCAGCAUUAU